UGCCAGCCGCCGCGGUAAUACGGAGGGUGCAAGCGUUGUUCGGAAUUACUGGGCGUAAAGCGCACGUAGGCGGUAUGUAUAGUUAGAGGUGAAAGGCCUGGGCUCAACCUAGGAACUGCCUUUAAUACUGACAUACUAGAGUCCGGGAGAGGGUAGCGGAAUUCCAAGUGUAGAGGUGAAAUUCGUAGAUAUUUGGAAGAACACCGGUGGCGAAGGCGGCUACCUGGACCGGCACUGACGCUGAGGUGCGAAAGCGUGGGGAUCGAACAGGAUUAGAUA
rnacentral:rRNA from 1 species